rnacentral:rRNA from 1 species
GACGAACGCUGGCGGCGUGCCUAAUACAUGCAAGUCGAACGCAGUGGGGACGGGUGAGUAACACGUGGGUAACCUCCCAUCAGAGGGGAUAACACUUGGAAACAGGUGCUAAACCGAUACUGAUGGAUGGACCCGCGGUGCAUUAGCUAGUUGGUGAGGUAACGGCUCACCAAGGCCACGAUGCAUAGCCGGCUGGGUAGGUGGAUCGGCCACACUGGGACUGGGACACGGCCCAGCUUCCUACGGGAGGCAGCAGUGGGGAAUCUUCGGCAAUGGACGAAAGUCUGACCGAGCAACGCCGGGUGAGUGAAGAAGGUUUUCGGAUCGUAAACCUCUGUUGUGAGAGAAGCGGUAUCUAACCAGAAAGCCACGGCUAACUACGUGCCAGCAGCCGCGGUAAUUC